CUGGCGGCGUGCCUAAUACAUGCAAGUCGAACGGUCGUUUCUAUGGAAGCUUGCUCCACUGAGAAGAUAGUGGCGAACGGGUGGAGUAACACGUGGGUAACCUGCCCAUAAGAGGGGGGAGUAACAUCCGGAAACGGGUGCUAAUACCGCAUAGUUUCUUGAUCGCAUGAUCGGGAAAGGAAAGACGGCCUUUGUGCUGUCGCUUAUGGAUGGACCCGCGGCGUAUUAGUUAGUUGGUGAGGUAACGGCUCACCAAGACGAUGAUACGUAGCCGACCUGAGAGGGUGAUCGGCCACAUUGGGACUGAGACACGGCCCAAACUCCUACGGGAGGCAGCAGUAGGGAAUCUUCCGCAAUGGACGAAAGUCUGACGGAGCAACGCCGCGUGAGUGAAGAAAAGGGUUUUCGGAUCGUAAAACUCUGUUGUCAGGGAAGAACAAGUUGGAGAGUAACUGCUCCAGCCUUGACGGUAUCUGACCAGAAAGCCACGGCUAACUACGUGCCAGCAGCAGC
rnacentral:rRNA from 1 species